CUCAGUAACUACAAACUUGCACUAGUCUUCCGUGUAUUUAUCGAACGUUAUUUCCAGACAUUACUGCCACACCACAAACUCCACAUAUCACUAUUUCCCGUCAUAGCAUAAGCAAACACUAAUUCAACUGGAAUUUGAUGAAUCAGCCUCACCCCCCAACUUCUACCACUUCUCUUUGUACUUCGGUUUCGUCUUUAGCAAUGUGAUAAACCAAAGAUACCUGACAUUUGAAGCUUGUAUUAGCCAAACCAAAGGUUGCUGCACGAUGCACCUAAAAUGCAUGAUAGGUAAAGCAACCGCUGAAUGAACCUAUCCGACGAGUUCGUCAGAAGGAUAUGGAUUUACUAGAGGUUCUUGCAACUGGAAUGGCCUGGUUGGCUAAUGCCAAGCUUCUUAUAACUUCUACCACUUCUCUUUGUUCUUUGGUUUCGUCUUUCGCAAUGUGAUUAACCAAAGAUACCUGACAUUUGAAGCUCGUUUUAACCAAGCCAAAGGUUGCUGCACGAUGCACCUAAAAUGCAUGAUAGGUAAAGCAACCGCUGAAUGAACCUAUCCAACGAGUUCGUCAGAAGGAUAUGGAUUUACUAGAGGUUCUUGCAACUGGAAUGGCCUGGUUGGCUAAUGCCAAGCUUCUCAUUUCUUGGGCCUUCUUUUGUGCUGAUCUCAAUUUGUUCAUAAUUUUGUCCGUGGAUGAUGACCUCUUCUUUUCCAAUUUCAUUAGGAAUUGGUCAAAUCAUUACAUUAUUUCCUAAUUUUUAUAGAGCACCAAGCUGAAAGACCAUCUAGCUUAGAAACAGGACUAACUUGAUAAAACAUACAUAUGUAUAUUCCUCUAACUAUUUUCUGGAAUAACUUGAAAAAAC
rnacentral:lncRNA from 1 species